UCGAGCGAAUGGAUUAAGAGCUUGCUCUUAUGAAGUUAGCGGCGGACGGGUGAGUAACACGUGGGUAACCUGCCCAUAAGACUGGGAUAACUCCGGGAAACCGGGGCUAAUACCGGAUAACAUUUUGAACCGCAUGGUUCGAAAUUGAAAGGCGGCUUCGGCUGUCACUUAUGGAUGGACCCGCGUCGCAUUAGCUAGUUGGUGAGGUAACGGCUCACCAAGGCAACGAUGCGUAGCCGACCUGAGAGGGUGAUCGGCCACACUGGGACUGAGACAUGGCCCAGACUCCUACGGGAGGCAGCAGUAGGGAAUCUUCCGCAAUGGACGAAAGUCUGACGGAGCAACGCCGCGUGAGUGAUGAAGGCUUUCGGGUCGUAAAACUCUGUUGUUAGGGAAGAACAAGUGCUAGUUGAAUAAGCUGGCACCUUGACGGUACCUAACCAGAAAGCCACGGCUAACUACGUGCCAGCAGCCGCGGUAAUACGUAGGUGGCAAGCGUUAUCCGGAAUUAUUGGGCGUAAAGCGCGCGCAGGUGGUUUCUUAAGUCUGAUGUGAAAGCCCACGGCUCAACCGUGGAGGGUCAUUGGAAACUGGGAGACUUGAGUGCAGAAGAGGAAAGUGGAAUUCCAUGUGUAGCGGUGAAAUGCGUAGAGAUAUGGAGGAACACCAGUGGCGAAGGCGACUUUCUGGUCUGUAACUGACACUGAGGCGCGAAAGCG
rnacentral:rRNA from 1 species